rnacentral:rRNA from 1 species
UGAAUACGAGAUGCUACGGCGUCGAAGCAGUCUAUGUCAUACUUCCAAGAAAAGCUUGCACUGUCAUAAACAAAUAAUGCCUGUACCAUAACCGACACAGGUGGGUAGGUAGAGUAUACUAAGGGGCGCGAGAUAACUCUCUCUAAGGAACUCGGCAAAAUGACUCCGUAACUUCGGGAGAAGGAGUGCCUUAUUUAUAAGGUUGCAAUAACAAGAUCCAAGCAACUGUUUACCAAAAACACAGGUCUCCGCUAAGUCGUAAGACGAUGUAUGGGGGCUGACGCCUGCCCAGUGCCAGAAGGUUAAAGAAGUUGGUUAGCAUCCGCGAAGCUGAUAACUGAAGCCCUGGUGAACGGCGGCCGUAACGAUAACGGUCCUAAGGUAGCGAAAUUCCUUGUCGGGUAAGUUCCGACCCGCACGAAAGGCGUAAUGAUUUGGAUACUGUCUCGGAGAGGGGCUCGGUGAAAUAGACUUGUCUGUGAAGAUGCGGACUACCUGCACCAGGACAGAAAGACCCUAUGAAGCUUUACUGUAACCUGAAAUUGAAAUUGGACUUUACUUGCGCAGUAUAGGUGGGAGGCGUUGAGAAUAUUCUUGCGGGAUUAUUGGAGCCAUCAGUGAGAUACCACUCUUGUAAUGUUAGAUUUCUAACUUUGUAUCAUUAUCUGGUCAAAGAACAGUUUCAGGCGGGCAGUUUGACUGGGGCGGUCGCCUCCUAAACGGUAACGGAGGCGCACAAAGGUUUCCUCUGAACGGGUAGAAAUCGUAUCUAGAGUGUAAAGGCAUAAGGAAGCUUGACUGUGAGACCUACAAGUCGAGCAGGGACGAAAGUCGGUCUUAGUGAUCUGACGGUGCUGAGUGGAAAGGCCGUCACUCAACGGAUAAAAGUUACUCUAAGGAUAACAGGCUGAUCUCCCCCAAGAGUUCACAUCGACGGGGAGGUUUGGCACCUCGAUGUCGGCUCAUCGCAUCCUGGGGCGGUAGUACGUCCCAAGGGUUGGGCUGUUCGCCCAUGAAAGCGGUACGCGAGCUGGGUUCAGAACGUCGUGAGACAGUUCGGUCCAUAUCCGGUGUAGGCGUUAGAAUAUUGAGAGGAGCCUUCUUUAGUACGAGAGGACCGAGAAGGACAUACCUCUGGUGUACCAGUUAUCGUGCCAACGGUAAACGCUGGGUAGCUAUGUGUGGAGUGGAUAACCGCUGAAAGCAUCUAAGUGGGAAGCCCACCUCAAGAUAAGUAUUCUCAC